AGAGAAAGUUUGUUGUUAUGAAUGAAAUGGAGUAACAUCAGGAACAAAGGAAGAGCUAAUCAAGCAGCUCUCCAGAACAAGAGAUCCUCAUGAUGACUUGGGGCCCACCUGGGUCAUCUGCAGGAGGCCUCUGCCAUAUAAGUUCAAGCCACCUGCUGCCAGAAGCCCCCCCGGAUCUCCAGGCUGCACACUGGACACGUCUCUUCCUGCUCAGGUCCGGGCUGCUGGGCCCCCCAUCCCACUCACAUGCACCUGCAGCCUCCACCCCAACCACUGAGUUCAGAGUGGUGACCCUGCAUCUCACGGUUGGAUAUCCCACAGCAGGAACAGAAUCACUGUUGGAUGACAACAUGUCAUCAGAUAAAGGCAAGUCCUGCUUCUCUGGUGGGGAGGAUACAUUUCAAAUCCAGUGUCUUAAGGAGCAGAGUAUUUGCAACUAGAACCCCCCCGGGGCACUGGGAUGGGGCUUCAGUCCCAGCAGAGUACAGGGGCAGCCCGGCCGCCAAUAGAAACAAUGUCAUUAAAAGACACGUUGCAGAUCCGUGGGCCUAUGAGAGGUACAGUGGUUUAGAUUUAGAAUAAUGGUAGAGAAGAGUUGCUAACGUAUCUGCCAGCCGGUUGUGCAUGAAGAUUCUGGGGGCCCUCGCUUCCUGUUCAGAUCCAGGAACCAGCCCUCCGUGUUCCUUGUCAAAUGCACCGAUCCUGGGAAGUUUCAUGCCUCCGACAGCAAGAAAAAGGCAGUGACACUGUUCUCACCCGCAAGGCCGUGGAUCCUCGGAGUCUGUCUGCACUGAGACCUUUCUCCUCUGCAGUUGCCCAGGACCGGUCCCAUGAGGACCCGUGAUGGUGCGUCACCCACCUGACUCCCCUCCCCAGUGGUCCUGGCUCCAGGACUCUCUCAGAGGUUGUCACUCUGCUCUGUGAAUGAUACUCAUGUGGACAUCUGCCAGAGGAGGCACAAAACGAUGAAUGACAGCUUGUUUUCUGCUCGUGUUGAUUUUGCCAUUCUGAACUUCACAACGCGGACAGAGAGCCAUCUCGUCUCUGUCGGUGUCUCCUGAAGGAUUUGGGCUCCAUCUCUUUCACCGCUGACCGCACCUCUGCCUCCCGCACACUGCCACCGACAGGGACGAUGGCCGAGGAGCCGUGGGUAGAACAAGAAGAGGGGUCCCUUUCACACAAGGAGGGGCUGUCCCUCGGCAGCAUGGUCUACGACUCACCUGGAAGAGCACGGGUUCAGAGUAUUGAUCAGGGGCAUUGGAAGGACCAUGGGUGUGUGGGACAAUGAACCAUCUGGAAAGCCCUUGGAGGAGGUGGGGUGGCCCUGGGCAGGACCCUCUGACAGGUGAUGCUGUAGACCAGAGAUGGCACCAGUCGGAAUGUGCUCAGGCGAAAGCCAACGUGUGGUCCCCACACAGCUCAAGCCCAAGGGCUGGCAGUGGACCAUCAGUAGCCUGGAGUCCUCCACUAGUUUAGUGUCCGACAUGAAUGGGAGUCACCCCAAAACCAACACAUCCGCCUGCAAGAGAAAUACUAAGCUGGCCAUGAAGCCCCAGAAUGAUCCCAUAGACUCAGGCCUGGAACUCCUUGGGGCAGCUGGUCAACCCCACGUGCCAGCUAGAAGGUUGGAUAGCACCCAGAGGGGGGAAACAGAGGCCAGGCCCCACACAGGACGCUGUCCAGGACUGAGGUACCCCAGCCAGAUGCCAGGACGCUCCUCCACCCCUUCCCUGCUGGCGAGGUCGGUUCCAGCCCUGGUGGGUGACUUAGAAAAAUGCAGAAGGGAGCAGUAAGAAGCGCAGGCCCCGUGAGCAGGGGCCCUCUUGGCCCCAAGGCUCUAAGGACGGUACCGACCCUGGGCCUCCAUGCCCUCAUCUGUCACUGGGAGUAAUAAAACCACCGGACCGUGUCAGGCGCAGGUCAGCUAAGAUUCUGAAUGCCAAAGAAGCCCACCAAUGCUCAGGCAUGCUAUCGACGGGAGAUGUUAUUACUCGGACAGUGUUUCAGCUUGUACACACAGAGGGGUGUGAACAUCCAUUCUGGAAAAUCACUAGGACAACAUAGAGUAAAAAAAAAGCCAACCCAACAGCUCUUCUGAUAAGCACAGACCAGCAGUGGGAAGUGGAAAAAUGAAAAUCUCUUUCUUAGAAUCCUAAAAUUUGUUUCUUUGGUGUUGCUGGGGAUUGCACCACAUUUCCUCGAAGUUCUUUCCUGGAGCUUUCGUUGCAGAGUGGGGGUGGGUUUGUUUCCUGCAGGAGAAGA